rnacentral:rRNA from 1 species
UACGUAGGGGGCUAGCGUUGUCCGGAAUCAUUGGGCGUAAAGCGCGCGUAGGCGGCCCGGUAAGUCCGCUGUAAAAGUCAAAGGCUCAACCUUUGAAUGUCAGUGGAUACUGCCGGGCUAGAGUCCGGAAGAGGCGAGUGGAACUCCUGGUGUAGCGGUGGAAUGCGCAGAUAUCAGGAGGAACACCAAUAGCGAAGGCAAUCCCCUGGGCCUGCACUGACGCUCAUGCACGAAAGCGUGGGGAGCAAACAGG